GCCCUGAAUUGUGUUUAACUCCUAUCAGAACACGAGACUCUUAAUCUCAGGGUCGUGGUUUCAAGCCCCAUGUUGGGUU